rnacentral:rRNA from 1 species
UACGGGGGGGGCAAGCGUUGUUCGGAAUUACUGGGCGUAAAGGGCUCGUAGGCGGCCAACUAAGUCAGACGUGAAAUCCCUCGGCUUAACCGGGGAACUGCAUCUGAUACUGGAUGGCUUGAGUUCGGGAGAGGGAUGCGGAAUUCCAGGUGUAGCGGUGGAAUGCGUAGAGAUCGGGAAGAAUACCUGUGGCGAAGGCGGCCAGCUGGGCCAGGUCCGACGCUGAGGCGCGAAAGCGUGGGGAGCAAACAGG